UACGAAGGGGGCUAGCGUUGCUCGGAAUCACUGGGCGUAAAGGGUGCGUAGGCGGGUCUUUAAGGUCAGGGGUGAAAUCCUGGAGCUCAACUCCAGAACUGCCUUUGAUACUGAAGAUCUUGAGUUCGGGAGAGGUGAGUGGAACUGCGAGUGUAGAGGUGAAAUUCGUAGAUAUUCGCAAGAACACCAGUGGCGAAGGCGGCUCACUGGCCCGAUACUGACGCUGAGGCACGAAAGCGUGGGGAGCAAACAGGG
rnacentral:rRNA from 1 species